GAGGGUAUAGCUCCAUGGUAGAGCACGUGCUUAGCAUGCAGGAGGUCCUGGGUUCAAUCCCCAGUAGCUCCA
rnacentral:tRNA from 1 species